rnacentral:rRNA from 1 species
GACGAACGCUGGCGGCGUGCCUAAUACAUGCAAGUUGAGCGCUGAAGGUUGGUACUUGUACCAACUGGAUGAGCAGCGAACGGGUGAGUAACGCGUGGGGAAUCUGCCUUUGAGCGGGGGACAACAUUUGGAAACGAAUGCUAAUACCGCAUAAAAACUUUAAACACAAGUUUUAAGUUUGAAAGAUGCAAUUGCAUCACUCAAAGAUGAUCCCGCGUUGUAUUAGCUAGUUGGUGAGGUAAAGGCUCACCAAGGCGAUGAUACAUAGCCGACCUGAGGGGGUGAACGGGCAAAUUGGGACUGGGACACGGCCCAAAAUUCUACGGGGAGGAACAGGAGGGGAACUUCGGCAAUGGACGAAAGUCUGACCGAGCAACGCCGCGGGAGUGAAGAAGGUUUUCGGGUCGUAAAACUCUGUUGGUAGGGAAGAACGUUGGUGAGAGUGGAAAGCUCAUCAAGUGACGGUAACUACCCAGAAAGGGACGGCUAACUACGUG